CUUGUCGCGAGGCAAGUUCUGAAGGAAGUCUAUGGCAAACCACUGACCUAACGGACAGAAACCGUAUAUGAGGCCGGCGUGUCGGAUGAGAGGGUCGCGAAACUCAAAGUCCAAUAGCUGCACGGAAGGCGGCAGGCAAUGGCAGGGAGCAUGGUGGAAUAGCCAUCAAU
rfam:Desulfovibrio sp. An276 An276_contig_7, whole genome shotgun sequence.